UACAGAGGUCUCAAGCGUUGUUCGGAUUCAUUGGGCGUAAAGGGUGCGUAGGCGGCGCGGUAAGUCGGGUGUGAAAUCUUGGAGCUUAACUCCGAAACUGCAUUCGAUACUGCCGUGCUUGAGGACUGGAGAGGAGACUGGAAUUUACGGUGUAGCGGUGAAAUGCGUAGAUAUCGUAAGGAAGACAGUGGCGAAGGCGGGUCUCUGGACAGUUCCUGACGCUGAGGCACGAAGGUCAGGGGAGCAAACGGG
rnacentral:rRNA from 1 species